rnacentral:rRNA from 1 species
GACGAACGCUGGCGGCGUGCUUAACACAUGCAAGUCGAACGGAAAGGCCCUGCUUGCAGGGUACUCGAGUGGCGAACGGGUGAGUAACACGUGGGUGAUCUGCCCUGCACUUCGGGAUAAGCCUGGGAAACUGGGUCUAAUACCGGAUAUGACCUUCCAUGUAGUGUGGGGGGUGGAAAGAUUUAUCGGUGUGGGAUGAGCCCGCGGCCUAUCAGCUUGUUGGUGGGGUAAUGGCCUACCAAGGCGUCGACGGGUAGCCGGCAUGAGAGGGUGGACGGCCACAUUGGGACUGAGAUACGGCCCAGACUCCUACGGGAGGCAGCAGUGGGGAAUAUUGCACAAUGGGCGGAAGCCUUAUGCAGCGACGCCGCGUGGGGGAUGACGGCCUUCGGGUUGUAAACCUCUUUCGACAGGGACGAAGCUUCGGUGACGGUACCUGUAUAAGAAGCACCGGCUAACUACGUG